AGAGGGCAGCGGACUGCAACUUGUUGGGAGUGCUGGCAGGAGGAGGCUGGUGGUGUGUGUGAGGCCAACUUGGUGCCUUUUGGAGAAGGCCUUGAGCAACUAUGUUUCUUGACUGUCCUGGGGGGCUAUGCAGCCUUCAGUGAGAAACAGGGAACAGAAGCCACUUGGGGAAUUUUUCAACUGGUGAAUACCUGCUGCUGUAGAGAGGAUCUCAAAUGUACACCACUCACAAAUCUUAAGAUAAAAUCAAACAGGAUUCUGAAGAUGUAUAAAGAAUCCAGGGUAAUACAAGAAAAAUGUGAAAAGCUCAGCUGGAAAAAUCUUUCUCAGAAUUGUGUGCUGCUUGAACAGUGUCAUCUGAAAGCUAUUGUGGUCUUUUGUGGCAAACUUGGAAAGUGCCUGGUGCAAAAGGUGCGCAUCAACACUCUGUGUUUUGAUUUGAUCUAUUGUUAUUUGAUGAAAUUUAAAGUCAGUUUCCAUGAAAUAAAGUGAUGGUUCUUUUUUUUCAAGGCAUCGUCAAGAUACACCCCAAACAAAUACAGUUAGGUCUUAUUUUUAUUUGGUACUAUUUCCUGCACUGGUCUGGAAUUUAUUCAAAUGUAUUAAGUAAAAUGAUGACUGUACACUAUGCAAAAGGACUGCUGGAGAAUAGAUUAUCUCAUUGUUUUAAAUUGUGAGAAACUGAUCAUUUCAAUCUGGAAGAGACAUCUUAAGUAGGGCUUAUCUGCAAAUGUAAUAAAAUAUUCCUCUGUGUCUGGAGGAAGAUAUGG
rnacentral:lncRNA from 1 species